CGGCGCCUGCGCACCUCUGCCUCAUUGCCCACUCCGUGCUGCCGGCUAGGGGCGGGGCUAGUAACGGUUUCAAUUGUGGGCAUCUGGACACCUGCCGUUUGCUAACGCUGAGGUUGGGUGGAACUUGUUUUGCGCCUGUGAGACUCAGUGUCGUCGUCCGAAUGGGGCAACCCCACUGUAGUUCAUAUGCUUUUCGGCUGACAAUUGUGCUCGGGCGACGUGGAGGCUGCUGAUGGAAGACGUGAAGCCGGUGCCUGUCAGGAUACUUGCCACACAUCAAGUGGUCCCCAUUUAGCAGUAGCGUCCCAAAGGCCACAGUAUUAAUUGUGAUGGAGGCAAACUAUGAGGCUGGGUCUCCUGGCAGUGUGACAGCCACUGUGAACGUGGGGCCCGACCUAUAAGAACUUGGACAGAAUCUGCCGGCAGACCUAGCAUCAUUUUCCUGUAGCCGUGGCUUUGAGGUGGUGAGAUCCAGGUCUGAGGCGAGGCUGAGGAAGGGGAAGAAGUGUCUUGCAGAGGCCCAGCAUGUAAGAGGAUCAAGGAAACUUUAGUAAAUUUAUUUCUUGGAGAGAAUCUACAGAAUCACUUUUGUAGAGCUUCCCCUGUCCCAAGGAGAUAAACUUGAGGUAAAUUGGGGAGAGUUGAAGUCCCAGGUGUUCCCACCUGCCCUGUGCAGGUUAUAUUUUCAAAAGGAUCAGGUGGAGCAUCCCUUCACAUGAGCACAGUCUUCAUGGGUGCCUCUCCAUCAAGGAGAAAAAAACAUCUCUAAGACCAAAGAUGUCUUGAUUCUAUUGAAAGACUGCAGUAGCUGAAUACUGGUCCCCCAAGGAUGUCCAAUACUUUGCCCAUGUGAUGCAAAGAGCCGACACAUUAGAAAAGACCCUGAUGCUGGGAAAGAUUGAAGGCAGAAGAAGAAGGAGGUGGCGGAGGAUGAGAUGGUUAGAUAGUGUCACUGA